UUAAGACGCCCAGGUUAGGGUUUGCUGAGCUGGAGAGGAUGCUGUUUUGGUAGCUCUGUCAGGCAGGCGGUGAGUCUGUCUCUUUGCCUGUGCCUGUGAGUCCUGUCCUUCGGGUUACAAGCUAUGGCCAGACAGAACUGUUCACCCGACGUUCCCGCACCCCGUCGCUGAUCAUCAGCUUGACACCUUUUCUAAAGCCCCUUCCCCUCCUGAAGGAACCUCUCCUUGGCAGUUAUUCAAACCUGGGCACGCCACGCAUCCUUGGGCACCUCUGGUCGCUGCUUGCUCCCUUUAAAACAGCGGUCAUGGAAUAAGUUAUGACUCCAAGGGCUUGCAGGACCCAGUGUUCUACACCAUCAUUUCUACCAGGUGGCAGCACUACAUUAGCAGGCACCAGUGUAUUACCUCCCCCCAGCAUGGGAAAGACUUCAGGACAACACUGCUGAAGCAACAGCCUCCUACCUCAGAGAGAGCAGCUUUGCUCACUGCUUGCUAUUGAAUGGCACACACCCAAGCUCAGUGCUCCUUGGUUGCCACGCAAACAUAUCGAGGGCAAUAUGUGAAAAGCAGCAGAGGUGGAAAUGAAAAAAUGGAGAGAGUAUCAUGCCAUGCACAUCUGUCGCCUCCUCCAACCUGUGAGCUGCUGAAAAGCACAGACUUGAGCUUCUGCCUCUUUGUAUUCCAAGCCCUCAGUUUAAGGCCUGGUCUUGAAAGGAACUCAGUGCACACCGAUGCUUCAAUGCUUGGAGGCAGCACUCACUACCCUGAUCCACCUCAUAGAGAAGAACAAGCUCCGGUUGCCAUGGUAUUGAGAGCACUACUAUACCUGCUGCUUUUAGGAUGAACAAAUGAUAUUCAGCUGAUUGCAUGUUGGCAUCUGGCCAGCAGCAUCUGCCGAGUCCAGCAGGACGGAUGCCAGACCAACCCUGAGGCAGCAGAGAUGCUUUUCCAGCUAACAGGCCUGUCUCUGUCCACCAUUUCUCCUAGGCAGGGAAACUGUGGAGUAACAUUAAAAUGAUUUCUUUUUUCCCAACUCUGGAAGUCUUAAAGGACUUUCCUUUUGUUACUAUCUUCUUAACUCAGAUGUCAGUUUUUUCUCCCUCUAUGCAUUGCUUUAUCCAUCUCCUCAUCUGCUGCUUCUAUAAGACAUAGCUAAUAAGCCAAAUCUGGCACACUGUUUUUGUAAAUAAAGUUUUAUUGGAACACCGUCAUGCUGAUUAUGUGACAUAAUACCAUAGAUGAUCAAUUUAAAAGAGGUAAGGUUUAUUUGGCUCACGGUUUUGAGGUUUUGGCCCAUGGUCACAUGGCCUCAUAUCACUGAGCUUGUAGUAAGGCAGAGGAUCAUGCAGGAGCCUGUUUACCUUAUGACAGAUUGGAAGCAAAUAGUGAGGGGUCCCAGUACUGGGAUUUGAACCCAGAGAGGGCUGAACUCCUUUUAUUUUGAGACAGAGUCUUGCUUAGUUGUUCAGCCUGACCUUAACUCUCAGUCCUCCUACCUCAACACCCCC